AACAAUCGAUAUUAAGUUGAUCAGUCUCAAUAUCGGAAGUUUAGUGCUUCAAAGUCCCAAAUACAUGCUCAUGAACGUUUAUGCCAAUUAUAUCAAGCAGAUAUACUAGUAGCACAUAACACACACACAAAGAAUGCACAGAAGCAUAGUCAGUCCAUUCCUCAGGCUCUACAGGAACGAACUGCUCUGAUACCAUAAUGUAACACCCU
rnacentral:lncRNA from 1 species